rnacentral:rRNA from 1 species
UACGUAGGGUGCAAGCGUUGUCCGGAAUUAUUGGGCGUAAAGAGCUCGUAGGCGGUCUGUUGCGUCGGGAGUGAAAACUCAGGGCUUAACCCUGAGCCUGCUUCCGAUACGGGCAGACUAGAGGUAUGCAGGGGAGAACGGAAUUCCUGGUGUAGCGGUGAAAUGCGCAGAUAUCAGGAGGAACACCGGUGGCGAAGGCGGUUCUCUGGGCAUUACCUGACGCUGAGGAGCGAAAGUGUGGGGAGCGAGCAGG